rnacentral:rRNA from 1 species
GCAGGCUUAACACAUGCAAGUCGAACGGUAACAGAGAAUAGCUUGCUAUUUUGCUGACGAGUGGCGGACGGGUGAGUAAUGCUUGGGAAUAUGCCUUAUGGUGGGGGACAACAGUUGGAAACGACUGCUAAUACCGCAUAACAUCUCCGGAUCAAAGUGGGGGACCUUCGGGCCUCACGCCAUAAGAGUAGCCCAAGUGGGAUUAGCUAGUUGGUAAGGUAAUGGCUUACCAAGGCGACGAUCCCUAGUUGGUCUUAGAGGAUGACCAGCCACACUGGAACUGAGACACGGUCCAGACUCCUACGGGAGGCAGCAGUGGGGAAUAUUGCACAAUGGGCGCAAGCCUGAUGCAGCCAUGCCGCGUGUGUGAAGAAGGCUUUCGGGUUGUAAAGCACUUUCAGCGAGGAGGAAAGGUUGUACUUUAAUAGAGUGCAGCUGUGACGUUACUCGCAGAAGAAGCACCGGCUAACUCCGUGCCAGCAGCCGCGGUAAUACGGAGGGUGCGAGCGUUAAUCGGAAUUACUGGGCGUAAAGCGCGCGUAGGUGGUUAAUUAAGUCAGAUGUGAAAUCCCAGGGCUCAACCUUGGAACUGCAUUUGAAACUGGUUGACUAGAGUUUUGUAGAGGGUGGUAGAAUUUCAGGUGUAGCGGUGAAAUGCGUAGAGAUCUGAAGGAAUACCAGUGGCGAAGGCGGCCACCUGGACAAAGACUGACACUGAGGCGCGAAGGCGUGGGGAGCAAACGGGAUUAGAUACCCCGGUAGUCCACGCAGUAAACGAUGUCUAUUAGAAUUUUGUGGCUAUAUGCCGUGGGAUUCAAAGCUAACGCAUUAAAUAGACC